GUAAAAAAAUCUAAUAAAAUAGAAAGUGUAGGGUUAGGUUCCCCAUUUCAUUCACUUUUUUCUUCUUUGUUCACGGUUACCCCAUUUCAAUCAAGUGUACGAUUGUUCUGGAAACAACUUAGCUGGAUCGAUUCCCACAUCAAUUGGCAACUUAAGGACUUGGAUCGAUUGUUCCCAAGUGUAGGGUUUGUUCUUGAGUAAUCUAUCGGUGAUAAUCCAUGUAAAUUGCAACGCUUGGAUGUCAUCGACUUGACUCAACAGGAUAAAAUUAGAAGCAGAAUAAGAGCAUUGUUCAGGAUCGCGGUUUUCUUGGGAUUUUUCUAGGAUUAAGAGUUGUGCCGCCCAAGCUUAAAGGCAAAUUCUACAGGGUGGUAGUCCGUCCGGCCUUGUUGUAUGGAGCGGAGUGUUGGCCAGUUAAGAACUCCCACAUCCAAAAAAUGAAGGUGGCAGAAAUGCGGAUGUUGCGCUGGAUGUGUGGACUGUCUAGAGGGGAUAGAGUUCGGAAUGAGACUAUUCGGGAGAAGGUUGGUGUGACUUUAGUGGAGUGCAAGAUGCAGGAAGCACGAUUGAGAUGGUUCGGACACGUGAAGAGGAGGGGCAUGGAUGCCCCGGUCCGUAGGUGUGAGAGGCUAGCGUUGGAUGGUUUUAGGCGGGGUAGGGGUAGGCCGAAGAAGUACUGGGGUGAGGUGAUUAGGCGGGACAUGGAACAGUUACAGCUCACCGAGGACAUGACUCUAGAUAGGAAGGUCUGGAGGGCGCGAAUUUCGGCAGAGGAUUAGGGCCAGUUUGGGUCGCUAGUGUAGGGAAUUACUUGGUGGGGGUUUUAUUCAUGUUAUGAUUCCGUGUUCCGUGUUCCAUGUUUUACUACGAAUCUGUGGGCUUUCCUCUGCUUUGCUCUGCUUUCCUCUGUUUUAUAUUACUUAUGGGUGCCGUAUUUAUGUUAUCUGCUUCUGUGCUUUACUAUGUGUUUGUGUGGUAUCUCGUGCCUUGAGCCGGGGGUCUAUCAGAAACAGCCUUUCUACUUCAUCAGAGGUAGAGGUAUGGACUUACCCCCCAGACCCCACUAGGUGGGAAUACACUGGGUUUGUUGUUGUCUUUCUUCUUUUGGGAUUAAUUGUGUUGUACGUCUUUUUAUUUCUUCUUCAAUUUCAGUAUUCUGCAUUGUCUCUGAGCAAUCUAUAACUUCAAAUUGCCCUAGAAAAAGUCCAGGUUCUAAUCUCUCUCCUUCUCCAUCUCAAUCUCUCUGGUUAAUAGUCAAUGACUUAUUAGCAGCCAGCAGCAAAGAUUAUGUUGGAUUAUGUGAAGUUUCUUCCUCCUCUCCUCUCUCUAUCCAUAUUAUACAUAUAUGUAGAUUAGACUAUUUGUUUACUAAAUCGAUGCUCUUUCUCUUUUCUUUCCAUCUUAAAUUAAAGUAAGAGCUUCAUUCACAAGUUGGUAAAUAUUUGUAUGACCUCCUAGGCAUGCUAUUGCGGUUGAGAUGUUUGCUUCCAGGACAUGGAACGACUCUACUAGUAUGUUGCUAUUUUGUGGAUAUUUGUCCAAAUAUCUGACAUUCUAUUAGUUGUCCAUCUUUUAUCUAAUUAAUAUUUUAAAAGUAUCAUCAGUAUGUAAUUUUUUAAGGUAAACUGUCAAUUUGACUUACUAUUUGCAUGGACAUGGCCCAUGGGUCAGGCUUGAUCAAUGCUUGAAGGUUUUCUGUGUUUGGAGAUAAUUAAUUUUCAAAAGACUUGAUGCAUUAUUUAGAUGGGCCAUUAUGGUGGUGGGGGGACUUAUAAGCUGAGCUUCCACGCAUUCGUUGCAAGAGAAUUUAUAUAUGUAUUGGGACUAUUAACUGAGUUUUGUAUACUUGUUUUCUGUUGUUAAGAUUUGAUUCAUGAGUAUGUGCAUGAAGGUUGGAACUUCUUAUGCCAGAUUUUACUUGUUGCUGAGAUGUAACACAAUGUCUCCACAUUCCAUGCCCUUUUGAACGGUGAUCAUGACAUAGAAGAUGGCGGGAAUGAAAUUGAUGAACUAGACCUGACCUAAGAGAUUGAUCACAUUGACUUUAUGUCACACUAGUUGUUGGAAAAACUUGUGUAUGUUUUGAUUGAGAUCGAUCACAUUUGACCGAGUAGUUUCAAACAUCUUUUAUUUUUGAACAUUCAAAACUACUUAUGUAUGUUUUGAUUUUUUUGAAUGGUCAAAAAAUAUUUGGUUUCUUAUUGGUUGACAUUUUGGGAAUUAAUAGUUACUAGUACUCUUGAUGA